rnacentral:misc_RNA from 1 species
GAUGAAGAACGUAGCGAAAUGCGAUAAGUAAUGUGAAUUGCAGAAUUCAGUGAAUCAUCGAAUCUUUGAACGCACAUUGCGCCCGCCAGUAUUCUGGCGGGCAUGCCUGUUCGAGCGUCAUUUCAACCAUCAAGCCCCCGGGCUUGUGUUGGGGACCUGCGGCUGCCGCAGGCCCUGAAAAGCAGUGGCGGGCUCGCUGUCACACCGAGCGUAGUAGAUUUUAUCUCGCUCAGGGCGUGCUGCGGGUUCCGGCCGUUAAACCACCUUCAUAACCCAAGGUUGACCUCGGAUCAGGUAGGAAGACCCGCUGAACUUAAGCAUAUCAAUAGGCGGAGGA